rnacentral:lncRNA from 1 species
UCGACGUGGCAAAAUCAAUCUUUGAGCUAAUUGGCAUUCCCAAAAGAAGUGCAGUUCAUACUCCUGCACUUCUUUGAGGUUUAACUGCAAACUACCCGUGGGUUCAUAAUAUCUAUAUUUAGAUUCUUGGUCCUAAUGCUUUAUGCUUGGUGGCUGAAAUUUUCCAUUUAGGGUGGCAUGUCUGCUUUGCAAUCUUCUCAAAAACUUAUCUCGCAGCCGCUUCUUUAACAUUAUUUAUUUAUUUAUUUAUUUAUUUAUUUAUCUAUUUAUGCUAUGAGAACACCUUCCCUCAACUUAUGCUGUCACAACCACUGCGAGCUGCAUGCAUAUGCAGCAUUGAGCAGAUAUUGACAUCAAAUGCUCUGCAUGAGGGUAUGCAGCGCAAUAUGCACAUGCAGCCUCCUACAUGACU